rnacentral:rRNA from 1 species
GAAUGCUGACAUAAGUAACGAUAAAGCGGGUGAAAAGCCCGCUCGCCGGAAGACCAAGGGUUCCUGUCCAACGUUAAUCGGGGCAGGGUGAGUCGACCCCUAAGGCGAGGCCGAAAGGCGUAGUCGAUGGGAAACGGGUUAAUAUUCCCGUACUUGGUGUUACUGCGAAGGGGGGACGGAGAAGGCUAUGUUGGCCGGGCGACGGUUGUCCCGGUUUAAGCGUGUAGGUGUGUGUUCCAGGUAAAUCCGGUUCACUUUAACACUGAGGCGUGAUGACGAGGCACUACGGUGCUGAAGCAACAAAUGCCCUGCUUCCAGGAAAAGCCUCUAAGCAUCAGGUAACAUCAAAUCGUACCCCAAACCGACACAGGUGGUCAGGUAGAGAAUACCAAGGCGCUUGAGAGAACUCGGGUGAAGGAACUAGGCAAAAUGGUGCCGUAACUUCGGGAGAAGGCACGCUGACACGUAGGUGAAGUGAUUUACUCAUGGAGCUGAAGUCAGUCGAAGAUACCAGCUGGCUGCAACUGUUUAUUAAAAACACAGCACUGUGCAAACACGAAAGUGGACGUAUACGGUGUGACGCCUGCCCGGUGCCGGAAGGUUAAUUGAUGGGGUCAGCGCAAGCGAAGCUCCUGAUCGAAGCCCCGGUAAACGGCGGCCGUAACUAUAACGGUCCUAAGGUAGCGAAAUUCCUUGUCGGGUAAGUUCCGACCUGCACGAAUGGCGUAAUGAUGGCCAGGCUGUCUCCACCCGAGACUCAGUGAAAUUGAACUCGCUGUGAAGAUGCAGUGUACCCGCGGCAAGACGGAAAGACCCCGUGAACCUUUACUAUAGCUUGACACUGAACAUUGAGCCUUGAUGUGUAGGAUAGGUGGGAGGCUUUGAAGUGUGGACGCCAGUCUGCAUGGAGCCGACCUUGAAAUACCACCCUUUAAUGUUUGAUGUUCUAACGUGGACCCGUGAUCCGGGUUGCGGACAGUGUCUGGUGGGUAGUUUGACUGGGGCGGUCUCCUCCUAAAGAGUAACGGAGGAGCACGAAGGUUGGCUAAUCCUGGUCGGACAUCAGGAGGUUAGUGCAAUGGCAUAAGCCAGCUUGACUGCGAGCGUGACGGCGCGAGCAGGUGCGAAAGCAGGUCAUAGUGAUCCGGUGGUUCUGAAUGGAAGGGCCAUCGCUCAACGGAUAAAAGGUACUCCGGGGAUAACAGGCUGAUACCGCCCAAGAGUUCAUAUCGACGGCGGUGUUUGGCACCUCGAUGUCGGCUCAUCACAUCCUGGGGCUGAAGUAGGUCCCAAGGGUAUGGCUGUUCGCCAUUUAAAGUGGUACGCGAGCUGGGUUUAGAACGUCGUGAGACAGUUCGGUCCCUAUCUGCCGUGGGCGCUGGAGAACUGAGGGGGGCUGCUCCUAGUACGAGAGGACCGGAGUGGACGCAUCACUGGUGUUCGGGUUGUCAUGCCAAUGGCACUGCCCGGUAGCUAAAUGCGGAAGAGAUAAGUGCUGAAAGCAUCUAAGCACGAAACUUGCCCCGAGAUGAGUUCUCCCUGA